GAGGCUGUGGGGAAAAGGAACACUGCUAUGCCGUUGAUGAGAAUGUAAAGUAGCACAACCACUACAGAAAUCAGGAAGGAGAUUCCUCAAAAACCCAAAACUAGAAAUUCUAUUUGACCCAGCUAUUCGUCUUCUAGGUGUCUUUCCGAAAGAAUUAAAGACAUCAUGGUACAGUGAUCCAUGCAUACCCAUGUUUAUAGCAGCACGAUUCAUAAGCAUAAUUCAUGAUUCAUAAUCUUUGAAGCAACCCACAUGUCCACUAACAGAUGAAUGGAUAAAGAAAAUAUGGUAUUUACACGGAGAGGAGUACUACUCUGCUAUAGAAAGGAUAAACUUGGGUCAUUUGUAGGAAAGUGGUUGCACCUUGUGACCAUAAUGUUCAGUGAAAUAAAUGAGACAGACAAGCUUAAAUAUCACAUGAUAUAUCUCACAUGAGAAACCCAAACAUGAAAAAAAGCAAAGGAAAAGAUAGAUGAUAGGCAGUAGGGAGACAGAUCUUUCUCAAAUAGGAAGGAGAGGAAGAGACAAGGGGAGGCGGGAAAGGAAUCAGACGUAAAAAGAAAUAAGAUGUGUUAUGUACCUGUACCAAAUCCCAGUGAUGAAUACAAUCAUUGUAUACUGCAAACUUGUACUCAUAAAAAUAAAGGUUUUCAAAAAGGGAUUAAGAUCUCAGACUCUGGAGCCAGACUUCAAAUCUGAAGCUGGGCUCUGCCUCUUACUAGCCGUGUGAUCUUGGGAAAGUUACUUCACCUCUCUGUGUCCCCACAGAUAUCUGUACAAUGGAAAUAACGGCACAUCGCAGCCCACAGGGUUAAGGAGAGCACUCAGUGAGUUCAUACGCAGCCGGUGUUCAGAACUAAGUGUGGCAUGCAGCAGAAAAACGCCAGGUGCCGCCAAGAUACCGAUUCUCGCCACAAAAUGCCCACAUUCCUGAACCCGAGACCAGUUUCCUGUGGAUGGCGGAGCAAGGCCAGGCCAUGGAGUGAAUGUUCAGAUUCGAAUUGCACCUCGGUCUGCGUUAAGAAGCAGCACGGGUUGGGGCAAGUGGCAUCGCCUCCCUGAGCCUAGGCUUCCGCAUCUGUAGAGUGGAGACGACGCCGGCGUCACUGACCACUGUCUUGUAGGCUGGUUUUCAGGCUAGGAAUAACGUCUGCGAAGUGCUUGGCUCUGAGGAGGCACUGAGUCCCGGGUGGUCGGCAUGAGGAGGCGGGGACAGGCUUUGAUGUCCACAUCUUCUUCUGCCCCUGCCUCCCCCUCAGCUUCCUCACAAGGAACAGAGAGUUGGGGCCGCACAUGGCAUUCUCAAUGAUGCUGAAGGAACAAUUUGCUGUAGGUCACACGCCAAGGAAUGAGUGCAGGUCCAGUGAGGGAUCUCCGUGCUGGACCCAUCCUUGGCAGUAAGGAUACAGCCACCACUGAGGUGUGCGAGGCUCUGCUCUCCCAGCACCUGCGUUCUGGGGAGGUGGGCGCCCACCGACCAGUGAGCUCAGAGAAUAAGCCCCGUGCUUGCAGAGUGAGUGCUCAGUGAAACUCUCAGGAAGGGCAACGGAGGAAGCCAGCUAGUUGGUUUGUGCUUUGGUUUGAUAUUUUGGCAGUGAAGAUAUUCUAGUCUCUCUCACUUUGGAAAGAUUGGGGACUUGAGACACUUUUUCCCUGCUUAGUUUUGUUUGGUGCUGGGGAUCAAACCUAGGGCUUCAUUCAUGCUAAGCCAGCACUGAGCUACACCCCUAGCACAAGAAAUGUUUUCUUUUUUUAUCCAAGGAGGAAGAAGACUGAAGUCAAAUUAAAGGUCUAACUAUCACCUUAAAGCCUACCUCCACCAUCCAUGAGAUCUGUUCUCUCAUUUAGCAGGGCAGUGAUUCGUCUAGAAAAUGAUGGCAAACCUUUCAUAGCUUUCAGUAAUAACCAACAGCCCGCUGUGGCACGCAUGCUGUAGGUUCGCCACCACUGGUCUAGAAGAUCCUAAAUCAAGGUUCUCACAACCCUGCUCAGUUUGGCAUUAAUCAGAAUACUGAUGUGAGAAUUAACCAUGAUAUCAUUUUUACUUCUCCGCAGGCCUUUUUCUUUCUCUUCCCCUCUUAUUGAGAGCCACAUGCAGCUUGAUGCGUGAUGUAUGCGAGCAGUUCCUUUCCACCAUCCUAAAAAGGAGAGGUCACACCUUUGGCAAAAUGUCUGUACGUCUCUAUCUCUAUAAAGCUAAAUAGCAAUUGCAGUUUCUCAUAUGAUGAGCAAAAGGUGUUUCCCAGAGUUUAAACUAUCUAGUUUUAAGUUCACAAUUCACGGGCCAGGGAUUUAGCUCAGGGGUUCUGUCACCUGCCUAGCUAACACAAGGACCUGAGUUCCGUGCCUGGUACCAAAAAAUAAAAUAAAAUAAAUUCACAAUUCUUUGGAGAAAUGCAGAGAAGUAAAAUAAAUCUUCCCUUUUCCUCUUUAAAUUUAAUUAAUUAAUUUAUUUAUUUCUUUAGGUACUGGGGAUCAAACUCUGGCCUUUGUGCUUGCGAGGCAGGCAGUAGCACCACUGAGCUAAAUCCCCAGCCCAAUCUUCCUUUUUCUAUACAAGUGCCCCAGGGAGAACAGAACUGUGUGUAAAUAGCUGCAGGUGGUGAGUGACAGUAUUCCAAAGAGACCCACUAACUCCAGUUUUUCCAAGUGGGGUAUGAGCACAAGUGGAGCCUUAGUAAAUUCUGUUCCAUCUCCCGGACUGCCUGUUUCUUUCCUCCCUGCCCACAGCUAUUCACCUGAGGAAUUUCUCAUUUUCUUUCCAUUGCUCUGAAUCUGCCCUUUCUCUGGAAAGGCUCCUGCCGUCUCCCUCAGGCCGGGUCAGUUGUCUGCCUCUGUGUCCCCUAGCAACCCGAGUCUUUACAAAAUGAUUUAAAUAAUCUUUACUGCACCAUAUAAAUAAAGUUCUCUUUUGACCUUGGCCUCAAAUGCACUAAAUCAACUGAAAAAUAAUCCGUGGUUUUUCAUGCACUAUCAUCAUUGCUAUGGUUGACCUUGUUUAUAAACAGUAUUUUAUUGUAUCUGUGUGUUUAUCUAAACAUUACUGCCCAAUAGAACUAAAACACAAGCCGUGGAUGUAGCUUUAAAUUUUCUAGUAGAUCCAUUUUAAAACGUAAAAAGUAACUAAAAUUACUUUUACUAUUUUCUUAACCCGAUAUAUCCAAC
ensembl:lincRNA